rnacentral:rRNA from 1 species
AACGUAGGACACAAGCGUUAUCCGGAAUUACUGGGCGUAAAGGGCGCGUAGGCGGCACUGUUAGUCAGGCGUGAAAUUCCUGGGCUCAACCUGGGGACUGCGCUUGAUACGGCAGAGCUAGAGGAUGGAAGAGGCUCGCGGAAUUCCCAGUGUAGAGGUGAAAUUCGUAGAUAUUGGGAAGAACACCGGUGGCGAAGGCGGCGAGCUGGUCCAUUACUGACGCUGAGGC